rnacentral:rRNA from 1 species
CAAUAGCGUAUAUUAAAGUUGUUGCAGUUAGAACGCUCGUAGUCGGAUUUCGGGGCGGGCCGACCGGUCUGCCGAUGGGUAUGCACUGGCCGGCGCGUCCUUCCUCUCGGAGACCGUUCCUACUCUUAACUGAGCGGGAGCGGGAGACGGGACUUUUACUUUGAAAAAAUCAGAGUGCUUCAAGCAGGCAGCUCGCUCUUGCAUGGAUUAGCAUGGGAUAAUGAAAUAGGACUUUGGUGCUAUUUUGUUGGUUUCGAACACCGAAGUAAUGAUGAGAAGGGUCAGUCAGGGGCACUCGUAUUCCGCCGAGAGAGGUGAAAUUCUCAGACCAGCGGAAGACGAACCACUGCGAAAGCAUUUGCCAGGGAUGUUUUCACUGA